rnacentral:rRNA from 1 species
UACGGGGGGGCAAGCGUUGUUCGGAAUUACUGGGCGUAAAGGGCUCGUAGGCGGCCAACUAAGUCGGAUGUGAAAUCCCCAGGCUCAACUUGGGAACUGCAUCCGAUACUGGAUGGCUUGAAUCCGGGAGAGGGAUGCGGAAUUCCAGGUGUAGCGGUGAAAUGCGCAGAUAUCAGGAGGAACACCGGUGGCGAAGGCGGGAUCCUGGGCCAGUACGUGACGCUGAGGAGCGAAAGCGUGGGAGCAACAGG